GACUGACUUCACCUAACCUCACCUAACUUCAUCUGACCUGACUAUCCUAACCUGACUACUUUAACUUAUUCUAACAUAACCUGGCCUGAUUACACCUGACCUGACCUGAUGUAACCAAACGUAACCUGAUCUGACCUCACCUAACUUGAUCUGACCUGACUACCUUAACUUAUUCUAACAUAACCUGGCCUGAUUACACCUGACCUGACCUGAUGUAACCAAACGUAACCUGAUCUGACCUCACCUAACUUGAUCUGACCUGAAUAUCCUAACCUGACUACCUUAACUUAUCCUAACAUAACCUGGCCUGAUUACACCUGACUUGACCUAACCUGAUGUGACCAAACGUAACCUGAUCUGAACUUAACAUAACCUAACCUGACCUACCUUAAACAGACCUAACUUAACCAAAGCUGGCCUGACCCUACCUAACCUGACCUCAUUUGACCUAAUGUAUUUUAAUUUCUUCACUAUGAUAUAAGGGACACAACAUGGUGUUAUACCGAGUUCAUAAUUCCAUUUUAAAGUGUGUAGUGUAGUUGGUUUUAAUUUGCAUCUCAACUUACGGAAAGGUGUUGAAGUAUUAAGUGGUAUAGAGGAUGUAACAUGAGUAAGCAAAAUUCUCAGUACUAGUUGUCAGGUUAGGAGAAGAGGUAAGGAGUUCAAGCCUGAGGAAGUUAUAAGACAAGGAAAAAAAAAAAAGAAAAAGAAAACAAGAUAUUCUCAAAAGCGAGUGAAUGGGAUGAUCUCAGUAGUGAAGUUGUUGGUGCUGAGUCACUGGGGAGCCUUAGGGAAAUUUAUGAAAACAAAAAAAAAAGUUAAAGUCUAAAAAAAGAGGGUAAAAAAUGGUUCUCAAAAUAAAUGAAUGGGAUGACUUGGUAAUCAGGCUGUUAGUGCUGAGUCACUGGGGAACUAAUGUAUGGAUAGUGAUGAUAGGUGGAAGCAGGUAGGCACGUUUUUUUUUUUUAAGGGCCUGCCACGUGUAGGCCUUGUGGCUUUCUGUACCACCCCUUGUGCUAUUGUGAGAGCAAGAAAAUUCUCAAACAGCCUCUUACCUCUUGGACAGGCUGUAGUGGAAGUUACUAUGGGUUUUCAAGGGAGUUUAACUAGCAUUCAACACUUUUAAUAGGCUGUAAUGGCAGUUAUUGGGGUUACUAUGUUGUUUUCGUGAUGCCAGUAAUAGUUUAAUAAGCAUUCUACACUUUUAACAGGCUGCAGUGGAAGUUAUGGGGGGUAAUAGUUAAUGAUAAUUGGACGAACAUUCUGCACUUUUGACAGGCUCUAGUGGUAAUUAUUAACACUUGGUAGGGUGUUUUCGUAAUGCAAGUAAUUGUGGUGUUGUGUAUGUCCCUCGUUGUCUAAUUAAUACCCAGAGUGGACAUUGCCAGUUCAGAAUUAGAGAUGCCUCUGUCCUAGUGGCGAGAGUUUAAUGCGGCUUUUACACCAUAAUUUUCAGAAGAGAGAAAGGAUAAUCAGAUUUCCAAGAGUGACAGUGACGUGGAUGGUUUCAGUGAUAGUUUAACAAGCAUUCCACACUCUUAACACGUCCUGGUGGUUAAGAAUGAAGGCAAUGUCCCCACUCUUAACACGUCCUGGUGGUUAAGAAUGAAGGCAAUGUGUCAUGUGUUAUCAUAAGGGGCGGUGCAGUUCUCUCUACCUGUAUUUAGCGCACAACUCCCUCCUCAGUAACUCAAGCAUGAUUUGUUCAGAGGCUCAGUGUUUGCUCGUGUGUCUUGUGUGAUGCACGUCCUUGUUUCUUCCUGGCGGGAUGAAGCGUCUGGCGCCACACGUGAUCUCAAAGCUGACUUGACUGUGCAUGGAUGACGAUGGCGACCAAAAGACUCACGACGGAGGAGUGCAUGUCCUCGUUGUUGUCUGACAAUAAGGAAAGUAGUGAGGAAGAAGACUAUUUUGAGGGCGAGAGCCAUGAAGAUGAGAUUUCUGAUCCUGAGGGCAAGAAACAGCCAUGACAUGGUGGCGCCAAACCUCGCCUGUCUGAGGCUACCGCCACCAGUCACCUGCCACCUCAUUCACUUCAUGCACCUUUCUGUCGCCACCACUACGUCGCUGCCUUAGAUCGCUGCCAGGACGAAGGAACUUUUGGCCUGGUGCUGCAGAAGAGACACAUGACAUGGGCGUGGAGGAGUGUGUGUGUGUGUGUGUGUGUGUUCAUCACGACGAUGUGUCUGGUAUCGAUGUGCCUCGCCACGGUGUGCUGCAGCAUGAAGACAAUGUGCCUCGCAACAUACAAAAUGCCCCCAGAACUCUCACAGUGCCUCAAGACGUGUCAUCUAAUGAGGUAAACAACAGGAGGAGGUCAAGGGGCAUCCUUCACCCUCCUGGUGUGACCUCGCUGAAUCGUGAUUCAGUGCCUACACUGCACAAAGUAAAGAUUGUACAAGUCUGCUCUGGUGAGGCCCAGGACUGUGCUACUUCGGGACCAGGAAGUCCAAACCAUCCCCUCCAAGUCUCAGUGGUCAGUGUGACAGUCAGCUGCAGCCAGCCUUGUGACGCACGGUGUCAAAUGGGAAACUGUGAAAAAUCGCAAAUAUAUUUUUAUAUAUUUUGAAAUAAAUAUGAAUUUAUA